CUUCACCGUGCCGAGCAGCAGCGGACGCCCCGAGUCCCGAUCCUGCCCAUAGGUGGCCAGGAGCGCCUGCGCCUC
rfam:Streptomyces hygroscopicus ATCC 53653 genomic scaffold supercont1.1, whole genome shotgun sequence.